rnacentral:rRNA from 1 species
GACGAACGCUGGCGGCGUGCUUAACACAUGCAAGUCGAACGGAAAGGCCCUGCUUGCAGGGUACUCGAGUGGCGAACGGGUGAGUAACACGUGGGUGAUCUGCCCUGCACUUCGGGAUAAGCCUGGGAAACUGGGUCUAAUACCGGAUAGAAGCCAUUUUUAGUGUGAUGGUUGGAAAGUUUUUUCGGUGUAGGAUGAGCUCGCGGCCUAUCAGCUUGUUGGUGGGGUAAUGGCCUACCAAGGCGGCGACGGGUAGCCGGCCUGAGAGGGUGGACGGCCACAUUGGGACUGAGAUACGGCCCAGACUCCUACGGGAGGCAGCAGUGGGGAAUAUUGCACAAUGGGCGCAAGCCUGAUGCAGCGACGCCGCGUGGGGGAUGACGGCCUUCGGGUUGUAAACGCCGUUCGCUAGGGACGAAGCUUUUUGUGACGGUACCUAGAUAAGAAGCACCGGCUAACUACGUG